AGCAGCCGCGGUAAUUCCAGCUCCAAUAGCGUAUAUUAAAGUUGUUGCAGUUAAAAAGCUCGUAGUUGAACUUCGGAAUUUGCCCAUUGGUCAGGCUUAACUGUCUGCACUGGUGUGACGAGUUCCUACCUUCUGAGGAAUCUCCAUGUCAUUCAGUUGGUGUGGGGGGAAAUCAGGACUGUUACUUUGAAAAAUUAGAGUGUUUAAAGCAGGCGUCCGUCUGAAUACAUUAGCAUGGAAUAAUAAAAUAGGACGGUUUGGUUCUAUUUUGUUGGUUUCUAGGAUCACCGUAAUGAUUAAUAGGGAUAGUUGGGGGCAUUAGUAUUCAAUUGUCAGAGGUGAAAUUCUUGGAUUUAUUGAAGACUAACUACUGCGAAAGCAUUUGCCAAGGAUGUUUUCAUUAAUCAAGAACGAAAGUUAGGGGAUCGAAGACGAUCAGAUACCGUCGUAGUCUUAACCAUAAACUAUGCCGACUAGGGAUCGGACGAAGUUAAUUUUUAAUGACUCGUUCGGCACCUUA
rnacentral:rRNA from 1 species